rnacentral:rRNA from 1 species
CCUACGGGUGGCAGCAGUGAGGAAUAUUGGUCAAUGGACGCAAGUCUGAACCAGCCAUGCCGCGUGCAGGAAGACGGCUCUAUGAGUUGUAAACUGCUUUUGCACGGGGAUAACACCCUCCACUUGUGGAGGUCUGCAGGUACCGUGCGAAUAAGGGCCGGCUAAUUCCGUGCCAGCAGCCGCGGUAAUACGGAAGGCCCGAGCGUUAUCCGGAUUCAUAGGGCUUAAAGGGAGCGUAGGCGGGCGUUCAAGUCAGCUGUAAAAUCGCGCGGCUCAACCGCGCCCCGCAGUUGAAACUGGACGCCUUGAGUUCACAACAGGCAGGCGGAAUUCGUGGUGUAGCGGUGAAAUGCAUAGAUAUCACGAGGAACCCCGAUUGCGAAGGCAGCCUGCCGGGGUGCGACUGACGCUGAGGCUCGAAGGUGCGGGUAUCAAACAGGAUUAGAUACCCCUGUAGUC